rnacentral:lncRNA from 1 species
CUAAACCCUAAUCACUUCUCCUCCUCAUCUCAGUUCUCUUUGAGAUCCAACCCUAACCCUAUUGCUGCCAACUAAACCUAGACCUAAUCCGUUCGAUUCCUACCUGCUCUAUGAGGUUCCACGAUUAUUUCAUACCUCCAUUGGUCUCCUACUUAUUCUGGUUGUUCGAGUUUGCUAUUCCAUGAAAGAAAUCUCAAAAUAUCUAGCCCAG